rnacentral:tRNA from 1 species
UUAGUUGAAACCAAAAAGAGGUUUACCACUGUUAAUGGUACUAUUGAAUUUAUUUCCAUCUAAG